rnacentral:rRNA from 1 species
UGGAAACUNUCUGACUUGAGUGCAGAAGGGGAGAGUGGAAUUCCAUGUGUAGCGGUGAAAUGCGUAGAUAUAUGGAGGANCACCAGUGGCGAAAGCGGCUCUCUGGUCUGUCACUGACGCUGAGGCUCGAAAGCGUGGGUAGCGAACAGGAUUAGAUACCCUGGUAGUCCACGCCGUAAACGAUGAGUGCUAGGUGUUAGGCCCUUUCCGGGGCUUAGUGCCGGAGCUAACGCAAUAAGCACUCCGCCUGGGGAGUACGACCGCAAGGUUGAAACUCAAAGGAAUUGACGGGGGCCCGCACAAGCGGUGGAGCAUGUGGUUUAAUUCGAAGCAACGCGAAGAACCUUACCAGGUCUUGACAUCCCGAUGCUAUUCUUAGAGAUAGGAAGUUACUUCGGUACAUCGGAGACAGGUGGUGCAUGGUUGUCGUCAGCUCGUGUCGUGAGAUGUUGGGUUAAGUCCCGCAACGAGCGCAACCCUUAUUGUUAGUUGCCAUCAUUAAGUUGGGCACUCUAGCGAGACUGCCGGUAAUAAACCGGAGGAAGGUGGGGAUGACGUCAAAUCAUCAUGCCCCUUAUGACCUGGGCUACACACGUGCUACAAUGGUCGGUACAACGAGUUGCGAGCCGGUGACGGCAAGCUAAUCUCUGAAAGCCGAUCUCAGUUCGGAUUGGAGGCUGCAACUCGCCUCCAUGAAGUCGGAAUCGCUAGUAAUCGCGGAUCAGCACGCCGCGGUGAAUACGUUCCCGGGCCUUGUACACACCG